UGAGCAGAGUGCUUUAGCGCUCCACGGGCGGCUUACCCACGUUCCUUGGAUUUGAAAAUCCCUAGAAGAACGAAGAAUCACGCAACAACACCAAGCACGUGGCGCCAUCGCGCCGCCAAAUCGACCGUCACAAUAAAUAAGAGAGGAGAAGACCCCAAAAUAAUCAAUAAAUAACACGAACUCAAGGAGAUUCCCUAAAAGGAAAAGGAAAACUUAGUCCGCACCGCUCUCAACGGGGAAACGUCCAAUGAUCAGUGAUCCGUCGAUAAUUGCCGAGAAACCAGUCAAAAUCAAAAUUCAAAACUCAAAACACAAACUUUAUCCCAUGUAGAUAUAGGCGGCCACGCAUUGUCGCGAGACAUUACCAUUGUAAGCACUUACCAUGGAGCAAUCAGUUGCAUACCCCAAAAUUAAAGAUUAGAGCGAUAACAAAAUAUAAUCUACAAUAAGAAAAGAGUUUAAAUUAUGUAAAUUCGACAGAAUACAAGGAAUAGCAUGUACAACCGAAAUUGAGCAAAAUAUAGCUUACAUAAACCAUCA